GGAAACAGGUGCUAAUACCGCAUAACAGUUUAUGCCGCAUGGCAUAAGAGUGAAAGGCGCUUUCGGGUGUCGCUGAUGGAUGGACCCGCGGUGCAUUAGCUAGUUGGUGAGGUAACGGCUCACCAAGGCCACGAUGCAUAGCCGACCUGAGAGGGUGAUCGGCCACACUGGGACUGAGACACGGCCCAGACUCCUACGGGAGGCAGCAGUAGGGAAUCUUCGGCAAUGGACGAAAGUCUGACCGAGCAACGCCGCGUGAGUGAAGAAGGUUUUCGGAUCGUAAAACUCUGUUGUUAGAGAAGAACAAGGACGUUAGUAACUGAACGUCCCCUGACGGUAUCUAACCAGAAAGCCACGGCUAACUACGUGCCAGCAGCCGCGGUAAUACGUAGGUGGCAAGCGUUGUCCGGAUUUAUUGGGCGUAAAGCGAGCGCAGGCGGUUUCUUAAGUCUGAUGUGAAAGCCCCCGGCUCAACCGGGGAGGGUCAUUGGAAACUGGGAGACUUGAGUGCAGAAGAGGAGAGUGGAAUUCCAUGUGUAGCGGUGAAAUGCGUAGAUAUAUGGAGGAACACCAGUGGCGAAGGCGGCUCUCUG
rnacentral:rRNA from 1 species